rnacentral:tRNA from 1 species
UCCCCCGUAGCUCAGCGGUAGAGUAGACGACUGUUAAUCGUUUGGUCAUUGGUUCGAAUCCAAUUGGGGGAGCCA